GGUUAAGCGACUAAGCGUACACGGUGGAUGCCCUGGCAGUCAGAGGCGAUGAAGGACGUGCUAAUCUGCGAUAAGCGUCGGUAAGGUGAUAUGAACCGUUAUAACCGGCGAUUUCCGAAUGGGGAAACCCAGUGUGAUUCGUCACACUAUCAUUAACUGAAUCCAUAGGUUAAUGAGGCGAACCGGGGGAACUGAAACAUCUAAGUACCCCGAGGAAAAGAAAUCAACCGAGAUUCCCCCAGUAGCGGCGAGCGAACGGGGAGGAGCCCAGAGCCUGAAUCAGUGUGUGUGUUAGUGGAAGCGUCUGGAAAGGCGCGCGAUACAGGGUGACAGCCCCGUACACAAAAAUGCACAUGCUGUGAGCUCGAUGAGUAGGGCGGGACACGUGGUAUCCUGUCUGAAUAUGGGGGGACCAUCCUCCAAGGCUAAAUACUCCUGACUGACCGAUAGUGAACCAGUACCGUGAGGGAAAGGCGAAAAGAACCCCGGCGAGGGGAGUGAAAAAGAACCUGAAACCGUGUACGUACAAGCAGUGGGAGCCUCUUAAUGGGGUGACUGCGUACCUUUUGUAUAAUGGGUCAGCGACUUAUAUUCUGUAGCAAGGUUAACCGAAUAGGGGAGCCGAAGGGAAACCGAGUCUUAACUGGGCGUUAAGUUGCAGGGUAUAGACCCGAAACCCGGUGAUCUAGCCAUGGGCAGGUUGAAGGUUGGGUAACACUAACUGGAGGACCGAACCGACUAAUGUUGAAAAAUUAGCGGAUGACUUGUGGCUGGGGGUGAAAGGCCAAUCAAACCGGGAGAUAGCUGGUUCUCCCCGAAAGCUAUUUAGGUAGCGCCUCGUGAAUUCAUCUCCGGGGGUAGAGCACUGUUUCGGCAAGGGGGUCAUCCCGACUUACCAACCCGAUGCAAACUGCGAAUACCGGAGAAUGUUAUCACGGGAGACACACGGCGGGUGCUAACGUCCGUCGUGAAGAGGGAAACAACCCAGACCGCCAGCUAAGGUCCCAAAGUCAUGGUUAAGUGGGAAACGAUGUGGGAAGGCCCAGACAGCCAGGAUGUUGGCUUAGAAGCAGCCAUCAUUUAAAGAAAGCGUAAUAGCUCACUGGUCGAGUCGGCCUGCGCGGAAGAUGUAACGGGGCUAAACCAUGCACCGAAGCUGCGGCAGCGACACUAUGUGUUGUUGGGUAGGGGAGCGUUCUGUAAGCCUGCGAAGGUGUACUGUGAGGUAUGCUGGAGGUAUCAGAAGUGCGAAUGCUGACAUAAGUAACGAUAAAGCGGGUGAAAAGCCCGCUCGCCGGAAGACCAAGGGUUCCUGUCCAACGUUAAUCGGGGCAGGGUGAGUCGACCCCUAAGGCGAGGCCGAAAGGCGUAGUCGAUGGGAAACAGGUUAAUAUUCCUGUACUUGGUGUUACUGCGAAGGGGGGACGGAGAAGGCUAUGUUGGCCGGGCGACGGUUGUCCCGGUUUAAGCGUGUAGGCUGGUUUUCCAGGCAAAUCCGGAAAAUCAAGGCUGAGGCGUGAUGACGAGGCACUACGGUGCUGAAGCAACAAAUGCCCUGCUUCCAGGAAAAGCCUCUAAGCAUCAGGUAACAUCAAAUCGUACCCCAAACCGACACAGGUGGUCAGGUAGAGAAUACCAAGGCGCUUGAGAGAACUCGGGUGAAGGAACUAGGCAAAAUGGUGCCGUAACUUCGGGAGAAGGCACGCUGAUAUGUAGGUGAAGUCCCUCGCGGAUGGAGCUGAAAUCAGUCGAAGAUACCAGCUGGCUGCAACUGUUUAUUAAAAACACAGCACUGUGCAAACACGAAAGUGGACGUAUACGGUGUGACGCCUGCCCGGUGCCGGAAGGUUAAUUGAUGGGGUUAGCGCAAGCGAAGCUCUUGAUCGAAGCCCCGGUAAACGGCGGCCGUAACUAUAACGGUCCUAAGGUAGCGAAAUUCCUUGUCGGGUAAGUUCCGACCUGCACGAAUGGCGUAAUGAUGGCCAGGCUGUCUCCACCCGAGACUCAGUGAAAUUGAACUCGCUGUGAAGAUGCAGUGUACCCGCGGCAAGACGGAAAGACCCCGUGAACCUUUACUAUAGCUUGACACUGAACAUUGAGCCUUGAUGUGUAGGAUAGGUGGGAGGCUUUGAAGUGUGGACGCCAGUCUGCAUGGAGCCGACCUUGAAAUACCACCCUUUAAUGUUUGAUGUUCUAACGUUGGCCCCUGAUCGGGGUUGCGGACAGUGUCUGGUGGGUAGUUUGACUGGGGCGGUCUCCUCCUAAAGAGUAACGGAGGAGCACGAAGGUUGGCUAAUCCUGGUCGGACAUCAGGAGGUUAGUGCAAUGGCAUAAGCCAGCUUGACUGCGAGCGUGACGGCGCGAGCAGGUGCGAAAGCAGGUCAUAGUGAUCCGGUGGUUCUGAAUGGAAGGGCCAUCGCUCAACGGAUAAAAGGUACUCCGGGGAUAACAGGCUGAUACCGCCCAAGAGUUCAUAUCGACGGCGGUGUUUGGCACCUCGAUGUCGGCUCAUCACAUCCUGGGGCUGAAGUAGGUCCCAAGGGUAUGGCUGUUCGCCAUUUAAAGUGGUACGCGAGCUGGGUUUAGAACGUCGUGAGACAGUUCGGUCCCUAUCUGCCGUGGGCGCUGGAGAACUGAGGGGGGCUGCUCCUAGUACGAGAGGACCGGAGUGGACGCAUCACUGGUGUUCGGGUUGUCAUGCCAAUGGCACUGCCCGGUAGCUAAAUGCGGAAGAGAUAAGUGCUGAAAGCAUCUAAGCACGAAACUUGCCCCGAGAUGAGUUCUCCCUGACUCCCUGAGAGUCCUGAAGGAACGUUGAAGACGACGACGUUGAUAGGCCGGGUGUGUAAGCGCAGCGAUGCGUUGAGCUAACCGGUACUAAUGAACCGUGAGGCUUAACCUU
rnacentral:rRNA from 2 species